rnacentral:lncRNA from 1 species
GCAUUGGACAUUGGCAAACCAGUAAGAUCUGUAAUCAUGGUCUGAUAAUUAAGCAGGGACUCGAGACGUCCCUGCGAAAUCUCAGCCUGAUAAGGAGUAUACUGAGUAUACCAAGCAGGAUUCUCCAUAAUAUUCCUCAAAAUAACAGGUGGUACAAAAGUGUUAUAAUAUCCCAUCCCAAUAUAUGACUUGAAAACCUUAUUCAUUGAGGCUAAUUUGGACAUGUGCUCAAUCAUUUGUGCCUCAGUUAAUCCCUCAUCAAACUUAGAAAACUUCAUGGAUUCAAUACGAAUAGAUUGAGGGACAGUGGCAUCAAUAAGGGAAUCAAGGCUUGAAAAACCACAAAACUCAGCCAUUUGGGUUUGUUCUUGUGGGGUGGCUGAGUUGUGUCGCCUUGGGAAAGUGUCACUUGGCUUCAGUGCCUCAACAGAUAUUGAUCUAACAUGUUGCUUAUUGAAAUUACCAUUUCCAUGCAACAUAUUCUUACCAUUUCUAGCCUGAAAUAUGUAAGGUGACAAUGAAGAAACAUACCUUGAAGGUCUGUAUAAUGCUGCAGAUGAUGGGAUAUCAUUAGCACGGCUCUGUUUUGAUUCUGAAACCAAGCGUUUCAGAAUUGCUCUGUUUGCCAAUUUUCUAGCACGGUCCAUUUUCUUGGCCAAA